rnacentral:rRNA from 1 species
UUGGAGGGCAAGUCUGGUGCCAGCAGCCGCGGUAAUUCCAGCUCCAAUAGCGUAUAUUAAAGUUGUUGCAGUUAAAAAGCUCGUAGUUGAAUUUCGGGGUUCCACCGUUGGUCGGGCUUUGUCUGUACUGGUGUGUAGAAUUUCUACCUUCUGGGGAACCAUCAUGCUAUUAAUUUAGCGUGGUGGGAAACCAGGACCUUUACCUUGAAAAAAUUAGUGUGUUCAAAGCAGGCUUAUGUCUGAAUACAUUAGCGUGGAAUAAUAGAAUAGGACGGUGGUCCUGUUUUGUUGGUUUCUGAAUCACCGUAAUGAUUAAUAGGGAUAGUUGGGGGCAUUAGUAUUCAAUUGUCAGAGGUGAAAUUCUUGGAUUUAUUGAAGACUAACUUCUGCGAAAGCAUUUGCCAAGGAUGUUUUCAUUAAUCAAGAACGAAAGUUAGGGGAUCGAAGACGAUCAGAUACCGUCGUAGUCUUAACCAUAAACUAUGCCGACUAGGGAUCGGACGAUGUUAAUUUUUCUUGACUCGUUCGGCGCCUUACGGGAAAC